rnacentral:rRNA from 1 species
AUUGAACGCUGGCGGCAGGCCUAACACAUGCAAGUCGAGCGAGCGGCGGACGGGUGAGUAAUGUCUGGGAAGGUGCUUGAUGGAGGGGGAUAACUACUGGAAACGGUAGCCAAUUCCGCAUACCAUCAGAUGUGCCCAGGUGGGAUUAGCUAGUUGGUGGGGUAAGGGCUCACAUAGGCGACGAUCCCUAGCUGGUCUGAGAGGAUGACCAGCCACACUGGAACUGAGACACGGUCCAGACUCCUACGGGAGGCAGCAGUGGGGAAUAUUGCACAAUGGGGGCAACCCUGAUGCAGCCAUGCCGCGUGUGUGAAGAAGGCCUUCGGGUUGUAAAGCACUUUCAGCGAGGAGGCGUUACCCGCAGAAGAAGCACCGGCUAACUCCGUGCCAGCAGCCGCGGUAAUAC